AUGGACGCCCCCGAGUCCGAGUCCUUGCCUCUCCACGUCGCCAUCUUCCCGUGGCUCGCCAUGGGCCACCUGCUGCCCUGCCUCGAGCUCGCCGAGCGCCUGGCCGCGCGGGGCCACCGCGUGUCCUUCGUCUCCACCCCACGCAACCUCGCCCGCCUCCCGCCGGUCCGUCCCACGCUGGCGCCGCUCGUCCACCUCGUUGCGCUGCCGCUUCCGCGCGUCACCGGCCUCCCGGACGGCGCCGAGUCCACCAGCGACGUCCCGCCCGACAAGUUCGACCUCCACAGGGCGGCGUUCGACGGCCUUGCCGCGCCGUUCGCGGCCUUCCUCGACACCGCCUGCGCCGGCGGCAGGAGGCCCGACUGGGUCGUGGCCGACUUUGUGCACCACUGGGUCGCCGCUGCCGCAGAGGAGCGCGAGGUGCCGUGCGCCAUGCUUCUCCCGUGCGCUGCGGGCAUCGCGGCCUUGGCCGGCCCGCCGCCGGAGUCCCGCGCGGAGGAGCGGCAGGCGGUCUCCAGGUCCAUGGACGCGGCACCGAGGUUCGAGGCUGAGCUGGCCACGGAGCAGUUCGCUGCGGAAGACACGUCGGGGGUGUCCGUCAUGGGCCGCUACUUCAUGACGUUGGAGAGGUCCAAGUUCAUCGCCCUGCGGAGCAGCCCCGAGCUGGAGCCCGACGCGUUCCCGCUCCUAACGAGGCUCUACGGCAAGCCGGCCGUCCCGCUCGGCCUGCUUCCGCCGCCGCCCGACGGAGCCCGUAGCGCCAGCGAGAACGCCGAGGACGUUGCGAUCAUUCAGUGGCUCGACGCGCUGCCGGCCAAGUCGGUGGUCUACGUGGCGUUGGGAAGUGAGGCGCCGUUGCGCGCCGAGCUGCUCCGCGAGCUGGCCCAUGGGCUGGAGCUCUCCGGGACGAGCUUCCUCUGGGCCCUCAGGAAUCCGGUCGACGGCGACGGCGACGGAGAGAGCAUGAGCAUCCUACUACCAGACGGCUUCGUGGAGCGCACGGGCAGGCGCGGGCUGGUGGCGGCGCGCUGGGUUCCUCAGGUGAGCAUACUGGCGCACGGCGCGGUGGGUGCGUUCUUGACGCACUGCGGGUGGGGCUCGGUCGUGGAGGGGCUCCAGUUCGGGCACCCCCUGAUCAUGCUGCCGCUCGCCGGUGACCAGGGCCCCAACGCACGGCUCAUGGAGGAGAGGAAGGUCGGGGUGCUGGUGCCGAGGGACGAGGAGGACGGUUCAUUUUCCCGAGACGGCGUCGCCGGAGCUGUUCGGGCCGUCAUUGUAGAGGAGGGGGGAAGCGUGUUCGCGGACAAUGCCAAGAAGCUGCAAGGCGUCGUGGCGAGCAUGGAGUGCAACGAGAGGUGCAUCGACUUGUUCAUUCAGCACUUACGAUCUUGUAGGAACUAG
rnacentral:rRNA from 1 species